UUUUAAAGUGAAGAAAGUGGAUGGAACUAGGGUUUUAGAUUUGAUUCAUCCAUUUCUUCUCCCUUUCCUUCAAUGGCUCUGCAACUAAGAUCAAGAUUUCGACCCAUCCAAAACCCAAAUCUAAUAAGUUAUUCUCAUCGGAGUCUAAUAAUAAUGGUGACAAGGUUCCAUCAUCUUCCUCUCUUUUCAGCGAUGUUAAAGAAAGUCUACAACAAACAUCAUCAUUACCACCUUGAAGAAAUACUUUAAAUGAUUCUCCUCCUCCUCCUCCUCCUCCUAAAUUAGACGAAAUAAGAAAAAACCUCUCUGAAUUUCGUCGUAGAUCUUCUGUUCCUCCUCAACCAACGACUUCAUUUUCAAGACCUUUACAAGAGAAACGUCCCUGAGAAAACUGAUGAAAAUAAACAGGGGAAUGUUUCGAUUAAUUCAAUUCGUGAAAGCUUAAGAAAUAUUCGGAAAAUCAAUGACAAACCAAAUGCUCGACCUAAUUGUUUUUCAUUUAUGCUAUAUUGUAUAUUCAGUAGAUAAGAUUUUGUGCAUACAUGGUUGGUUUUGUGGAAGUGCGAAGAAUCCAUUGGCAAUUCUAGUAGAAAUGUGUUAGAUAAGAUGUUUUGUAGAGUUCAUACAUCACUUGAAAUAUCUUGGGUGGUAACUGCUUUCAGAAAGCUAGAAUUCGACUUCUAUUUGUAGCUGUGUGCGGUGCGUUGGGUCUUUCACAGAAUGAAAGAAUUGGUUACUGUUCAGUAGUAUCGAAUUCUAUGUAGGUUAGGCUUUCGCAGAAUCAAAGAAUUGGGUACAAUUCAGUACCUAUGGAAAAGAAUGCAUCCUCAGUCUCUUUCAUUUUAUAUAAAAGAUUUGUCAAGAAUCACCCGAUUAACUAGUACGGUGAGUCAAGCAAGCAGAGAGAAACUUUCAUAAUGUUAUUGAUUUUUAGCUCAUGAAGUUUUUCUUCAAACAAUUUGUGUGAUGAUGGAGAUAUGUUGACUUUGUAAUAGAGAUUCGAAGAGUGAAUCUGUCAGCAAAUGGUCUUAAUUAACUUACUGAUAAGAGUUCUGUUGACAUAAUAAACACACAAGCUUCUGACGCAGGCAUAAAACAUCAAAAGACACCAGUUAACAAUCUUCAGACAAGAGUAUUUCCAUCCAGAUAACAUGUCUUCAGAAGAGAAGAUAAAGUUGGAGCUCAAGAAAGUUCGGGACGAGUUUAAAAUAUCAGAGUCGGACUGUGGAUCUUCCCGUGUUCAAGUUGCUCAACUGACAACAAAAAUCAAGCAUCUAUCAUCUGUUUUACAUAAAAAGGAUAACAUUCUAGAAAGGGGCUGGUAGCAAUGGUGCAAAGGAGGAAGAAGAUUCUUAGAUAUCUCGGAAGAACAGACUGGAAUUGGUAUUGCCAAGUUCUCUCACAACUUGGGCUGAGGGACAACCCAGACUACAAACACUAAGCCUCAAAUCUUUUUCUCUUUACUUCACCUUUUUAUGCGCUGACAAUUUUUCUUGAUUUUGUACUUGUGUUACAUUCUUUGGUUAUUUUUUCGACUCGGUGUUAUCUAAACAGUGAUAUACUCCCUCCGUCCCUAAUAAGAUGACCUAGUUGUAGUUUGCACAAAUUUUAAGGCAAUGAGGAAAGUGGAGUAUAUUUAACUAUUUUUUACAAUUGUACUCUUAUGGACAAUAAUUAGCAAAAUUUAGAAA